AGAGUUUGAUCAUGGCUCAGAACGUACGCUGGCGGCACGCCUAACACAUGCAAGUCGAACGAAGUAGCAAUACUUAGUGGCAGACGGGUGAGCAACAUGUAGGUAUCUGCCCUUUGGCCCGGAAUAACACGAGGAAACUUGUGCUAAUACCGGAUAAGUCUUUACGGAGAAAGCUUUAUGCACCAUUGGAUGAGCCUGCACUUGAUUAGUUUGUUGGUAGGGUAACGGCCUACCAAGACUGUGAUCAAUAGCUGAUUUGAGAGGAUGAUCAGCCACAUUGGGACUGAGACACGGCCCAAACUCCUACGGGAGGCAGCAGUGGGGAAUCUUGCACAAUGGAGGAAACCCUGAUGCAGCGAUGCCGCGUGAGUGAAGAAGGCCCUUGGGUUGUAAAGCUCUUUCGUCGGGGAAGAAAAUGACUGUACCCGAAUAAGAAGGUCCGGCUAACUUCGUGCCAGCAGCCGCGGUAAUACGAAGGGACCUAGCGUAGUUCGGAAUUACUGGGCUUAAAGAGUUCGUAGGUGGUUGAAAAAGUUGGUGGUGAAAUCCCAGAGCUUAACUCUGGAACUGCCAUCAAAACUUUUCAGCUAGAGUAUGAUAGAGGAAAGCAGAAUUUCUAGUGUAGAGGUGAAAUUCGUAGAUAUUAGAAAGAAUACCAAUUGCGAAGGCAGCUUUCUGGAUCAUUACUGACACUGAGGAACGAAAGCAUGGGUAGUGAAGAGGAUUAGAUACCCUCGUAGUCCAUGCCGUAAACGAUGUGUGUUAGACGUUGGAAAUUUAUUUUCAGUGUCGCAGCGAAAGCGAUAAACACACCGCCUGGGGAGUACGACCGCAAGGUUAAAACUCAAAUGAAUUGACGGAGACCCGCAC
rnacentral:rRNA from 1 species